AGCGAACGCUGGCGGCAGGCCUAACACAUGCAAGUCGAACGGAUCCUUCGGGAUUAGUGGCGGACGGGUGAGUAACACGUGGGAACGUGCCCUUUGGUUCGGAACAACUCAGGGAAACUUGAGCUAAUACCGGAUGUGCCCUUCGGGGGAAAGAUUUAUCGCCAUUGGAGCGGCCCGCGUCUGAUUAGCUGGUUGGUGAGGUAACGGCCCACCAAGGCGACGAUCAGUAGCUGGUCUGAGAGGAUGAUCAGCCACACUGGGACUGAGACACGGCCCAGACUCCUACGGGAGGCAGCAGUGGGGAAUCUUGCGCAAUGGGCGAAAGCCUGACGCAGCCAUGCCGCGUGAAUGAUGAAGGUCUUAGGAUUGUAAAAUUCUUUCAGCGGGGACGAUAAUGACGGUACCCGCAGAAGAAGCUCCGGCUAACUUCGUG
rnacentral:rRNA from 1 species